CGACUAGUCAGUCUUGGGUUUGGUCCUUAGCUUUCUCUGCCCUCUCACUCAGAGAUGCUCUCUGGCUUUCAUGGCUGAGUUCCAGUGCCUACAACUUGUUCUCAGUGUGACAGAAGGUUGUACUGCAUGGGAUGGCCAUGUCUGUGAAGACUAACAAGAGCUAACGUCUAAAUUUGCAAGUUUACCCAAAGGGUGACUUCAUUACAUAAAAGGUAAAUCAAUUCAUGUUUCCCUGAAACAGCAUUGUUUUUCAAUUGUAGGUACAUUAUUAGCAAGUUCCUUUUAUAGUGUAGCAUAGGUUAUUAAACAACUAAAUAAAUGUUGCCCAUCUGUGCACC
rnacentral:lncRNA from 1 species